rnacentral:rRNA from 1 species
AUUGAACGCUGGCGGCAUGCCUUACACAUGCAAGUCGAACGGUAAAAGGUCUUCGGAUGCUGACGAGUGGCGAACGGGUGAGUAAUACAUCGGAACGUGCACGAGAGAGGGGGAUAACGAGGCGAAAGCUCUGCUAAUACCGCAUACGAUCUACGGAUGAAAGCAGGGGAACGCAAGGCCUUGCGCGGACGGAGCGGCCGAUGGCAGAUUAGGUAGUUGGUGGGAUAAAGCUUACCAAGCCGACCAUCUGUAGCUGGUCUGAGAGGACGACCAGCCACACUGGGACUGAGACACGGCCCAGACUCCUACGGGAGGCAGGAGUGGGGAAUUUUGGACAAUGGGCGAAAGCCUGAUCCAGCCAUGCCGCGUGCAGGAUUAAGGCCUUCGGGUUGUAAACUGCUUUUGUACGGAACGAAAAGCCUCUUUCUAAUAAAGAGAGGUCAUGACGGUACCGUAAGAAUAAGCACCGGCUAACUACGUGCCAGCAGCCGCGGUAAGAC